GUCGCGCCAUUUUUAAAGAGCAAGUUUGGAAAAGUUUUGAAAAGGCAUGGCAAAAAGACGAAAUAAAGGAAGAAAAUCACGGUAGGUGCAGUGAAGCAAGACGUCUAAAGGAACAACUGAAAAGAUGGAUCUGUGCUUUGUCCAACUUCGCCACCAUGGCAUUUGUGAGGUGAAGAAUUGCAGUUCAGUAAAAUCAUCCUCGGAAGCAGUACAUAUUGCAAAGCCAAAGCUGUUAAGAUGACUAUCAAAAGUGAGUUCGGUGGCAUCUCCAUGGACAUGAUGGCAAGUUUGUGGCAAAAGAAGAGGAAGAAAGUAGAGAGCCGAAACUGACAUGGAAGAGUUUGAUUUUAUUCCAGUUCAGAAAAUGGCUGGUGAGUCAAAAGGCAUUUUGUUUCACUUCCACCAAAAUGCAUGAAUUCCAGUCCUUCCUACUCUAGGACCCAGUUGGACUACCUACAAAGCCACACCCCUCAGAGCCUCGUCCCUGUAUCCACUCGACUACAUCGCCUGCAGGUUCACAAACCCCUAGAUGCACCUAUCCCCACCUUGUGACAUACACCAAACCUCAACAUUGGACCGAAGUAGUCUCCUAUGUUUGCUACGGAUGAGAAGCCUUCUCUUGACAUGCCCAGAAUGAGCUUGGCUCCAAUUUCUAUCAAAUUGGGAUCAUCGUUACACACUUUACAAGUUAUGAAUGGAGAGGAGAAAGACGAGGGAUCCAGUACUACCUCUCCACCUACUGGUCCCAAGCCAUGCACUCAGGAUGUAUAGGACGUCAUUUUCAUACUGGCUACUAGAUUUUAAAUGGAUGUGAAGAGUAGGUUGCCAUGGCAAUAGGAAAUACUGCUCAUCAUUAUCAGAAGGAGAUGGAUAAAAACAGCUUUCAGCCUUGUGAUGUCGUCACAGACCUUCUUGCCAGUCACAUCAAGGAUGAGACAAGUGCAAGCUGUCUAGCCUGAACAAGAAGGAUACAGUGAGCAAGAUGCAAGCUCAGGUCGUCCAGUCCCCGGAGCGGAUGAAAGCUGACAUAUCAUGCAUGCAUUCCACCUUAGCCUUGCAUGAGGAGACUAAGAAGGAGAAGGGACACAGAGUGCUGGAGCUACAGGGUCAGAAUGAGAACUGCCAGCUGCUUCUUCAGUCCAGUGAUCAAGGAAUGUGAUGAUUACAUCUAUCAACCCUGAGGGAAGGUCAGGCUACAUUAAAAGGUGUGAGAGAUCAGAUUCAGGUGGAGAAAUACCAGCUGAGGGACUCUACAGCCCAGGGACCCAUUUCAUAACAACCCAAGAACUAUCGUAACUUUGCCAUUAUGGUAACUACCAUGGCAACAUGGCCUUGCAGCCCAUCACAAUCAAGGUUACCAUGGUUGUUUCAAUAAAGGCAAUGUUGCAGUAGUUGUAGCUCUUUAUGAAAUGGGCCCCUGGAGGGUCAUCUCGAUGGACAGAGGGAUUCUAAGCAAGAGGAUCUACAGCAUCAACACGCCAUCACAGCCUGCAGGAGAUGUACAGAGGAACAAAGAUGAAUGAUGAGGAGAAUAGCCAUGAACAACAGAUGAGGAAAAAGCAGGAUAACUUUGAACACCUCCUAGUAGCUUUGGACUUAUACCACAAAGAUCUCUCUGUUAGCUGGGAGCAAGCCGAUCCAAGAUAAACCAGGAAGUCAAUGGAUUGAUCAGAGC